GAGGGUGAUCGGCCACAUUGGAACUGAGACACGGUCCAAACUCCUACGGGAGGCAGCAGUGGGGAAUAUUGCACAAUGGGCGAAAGCCUGAUGCAGCAACGCCGCGUGAGUGAUGAAGGCCUUCGGGUCGUAAAACUCUGUCCUCAAGGAAGAUAAUGACGGUACUUGAGGAGGAAGCCCCGGCUAACUACGUGCCAGCAGCCGCGGUAAUACGUAGGGGGCUAGCGUUAUCCGGAUUUACUGGGCGUAAAGGGUGCGUAGGCGGUCUUUCAAGUCAGGAGUGAAAGGCUACGGCUCAACCGUAGUAAGCUCUUGAAACUGGGAGACUUGAGUGCAGGAGAGGAGAGUGGAAUUCCUAGUGUAGCGGUGAAAUGCGUAGAUAUUAGGAGGAACACCAGUUGCGAAGGCGGCUCUCUGGACUGUAACUGACGCUGAGGCACGAAAGCGUGGGGAGCAAACAGGAUUAGAUACCCUGGUAGUCCACGCUGUAAACGAUGAGUACUAGGUGUCGGGGGUUACCCCCCUCGGUGCCGCAGCUAACGCAUUAAGUACUCCGCCUGGGAAGUACGCUCGCAAGAGUGAAACUCAAAGGAAUGGACGGGGACCCGCACAAGUAGCGGAGCAUGUGGUUUAAUUCGAAGCAACGCGAAGAACCUUACCUAAGCUUGACAUCCCAAUGACAUCUCCUUAAUCGGAGAGUUCCCUUCGGGGACAUUGGUGACAGGUGGUGCAUGGUUGUCGUCAGCUCGUGUCGUGAGAUGUUGGGUUAAGUCCCGCAACGAGCGCAACCCUUGUCUUUAGUUGCCAUCAUUAAGUUGGGCACUCUAGAGAGACUGCCAGGGAUAACCUGGAGGAAGGUGGGGAUGACGUCAAAUCAUCAUGCCCCUUAUGCUUAGGGCUACACACGUGCUACAAUGGGUAGUACAGAGGGUUGCCAAGCCGUAAGGUGGAGCUAAUCCCUUAAAGCUACUCUCAGUUCGGAUUGUAGGCUGAAACUCGCCUACAUGAAGCUGGAGUUACUAGUAAUCGCAGAU
rnacentral:rRNA from 1 species